CCUACGGGAGGCCAGCCAGUGGGGAAUUUUGGACCAAUGGGGGCACCCUGAUCCAGCAAUGCCGCGUGUGUGAAGAAGGGCCUUCGGGUUGUAAAGCACUUUUGUCCGGAAAGAAAUGGCUCUGGUUAAUACCCGGGGUCGAUGACGGUACCGGAAGAAUAAGCACCGGCUAACUACGUGCACAGCG
rnacentral:rRNA from 1 species